CACCCACCCCCUAAAGGCAACGAGUCCACAAAGUUAAAGGAAAGGACAGAAACUCAGAACUGAGCUGAGAGUGCAGCCUUAGAGCCCGUCUGCCAGACAGAGCCGCUUCUCUCUUGGCACAGUGCUGCACCGCACCGCAACGCACCACACCGUACCGCACACUGCUCACGGGGACUUUGCCAGGAGAUAACUUUACACCAGAGGCUUUUGUGUGUGUGUCGGUGCGUCUGUGUGUGUGUGUGAGAGAGAGAGAGAGACAGAGAGUGCGCCAUAGAAUGGAGGCACAGAUGGGAGGACUUGAUCGGUGGGAGGAGGAGGAGGAGGAGGAGAAGGAGGAGGGUGGUUGAGGAGCACAGCUGCACGGCACAGAAGCCGGUUCCCCUGCCUGCCUGCCUGACGGACGGACGGACGGACGGAGAGCCAGCCAGCCAGCGCUCCUCUGUUCUCCAAGGGGGCCUCGCUCACUCAUUCGCCCCCUCCCUCUCUCUCCCCCUCUCUCUCUCUCUCCUUCACUCCCUCCAGCAGAGCCAUGCUCAUGCCCUACCCGGAGGAGUCGAGCUUUAUGAGAAACUCGCGGAUAUGGAACCAAAAGACCAAGGGCAAGGAAAGGACUCUUCUCUUCCUCUGGCGCAGAAAGCCCCCAGUACCUACUCGUGUAUCCUGCCAUGAUGGCUUUGCCUCACCUUUGCGGCGUUCAGGAGGGGAACACUGAAGGCAAAAACACGUGCUCUAAACUUGGCAGUGGCGCUGGGCUUGUGGGGGAGGUUCAGGGCCUCUGAUGAAGCCGUGCUGGUCAAGUGCAUACUCCAUUACUGAGAGACGUAUACCUAUGGCUUCUCCAACACCUCCUAUGCUGUGUGGCCAAUAUGUCUGCCGUAGGGGGGAAAUGUGUGUGUGUGUGGACAUC
rnacentral:lncRNA from 1 species